UAAUGUACAUUGGAUUUUAAAGUAGGUAUACUUGCGGAUAAUGACGCAAUUCAGCAUACAUAAUAUCAUAUUGAUUUGUCGAACUUGCAGCCACACAAACAUAAGCCGAUUAGACAUCAAAUGCGAGUAGGUACUUACCAAUCAAUCUAAUCGUUCCAACUCGUUAUAAAUGUAAAAAAUAUGAUUCUGUGCGAUAAAAAUUAAUUUAAAACA